UUAUUUUCUACAUUAACAUGAGGAGAGUUUGUGAACAUUGCAAAGGAACAAAAGGAGCUUCUCAUAAUCUUGGACAUGACAAGUCAACAGUGGAUCAAUCAAAUGACCCGGAUGGUGAAGCAAAGGCAGU